rnacentral:rRNA from 1 species
UACGUAGGGACCAAGCGUUGUUCGGAUUUACUGGGCGUAAAGAGCGCGCAGGCGGUCGAGUAAGUCGAAUGUGAAAGCCCCCGGCUUAACUGGGGAGGGUCAUUCGAUACUGUUCGACUUGAAGGCAGGAGAGGGCAGCAGAAUUCCCGGUGUAGUGGUGAAAUGCGUAGAUAUCGGGAGGAAUACCAGUGGCGAAGGCGGCUGCCUGGCCUGUUCUUGACGCUGAGGCGCGAAAGCUGGGGGAGCAAACGGG